UUUAUUGAGGGUUGUAAUGUAGGCUCUUUGGUAGGGUAGGAUAUAUUUGGCUAAGUGACUAAUAGAUACUCUCAAUGUAGCAUGAUCACCAACCUUAUAGCAUUCUUACUCAACACAAUCCUCCACCUCCCAUAAAACCAAAAUUUUCAAUACAAAAAUCAUCACAACUCAACAAUUAUUUCUCAUAACAUUAUGUCUCUCUAGUGCAUCCUAUGUACCCAUUUUUUUCCAAUUCUUUUCUCUUUUUUUCUUUUCUUUUUCU
rnacentral:lncRNA from 1 species